GACGGUCUUGGUGGCCUUGAUGCAGUCGAGCGGAAACGACAACAUUGACCCUUCGGGUGAUUUGUUGGGCGUCGAGCGGCGGACGGGUGAGUAAUGCCUGGGAAAUUGCCCUGAUGUGGGGGAUAACCAUUGGAAACGAUGGCUAAUACCGCAUAACGUCUACGGACCAAAGAGGGGGACCUUCGGGCCUCUCGCUUCAGGAUAUGCCCAGGUGGGAUUAGCUAGUUGGUGAGGUAAUGGCUCACCAAGGCGACGAUCCCUAGCUGGUCUGAGAGGAUGAUCAGCCACACUGGAACUGAGACACGGUCCAGACUCCUACGGGAGGCAGCAGUGGGGAAUAUUGCACAAUGGGCGCAAGCCUGAUGCAGCCAUGCCGCGUGUAUGAAGAAGGCCUUCGGGUUGUAAAGUACUUUCAGUCGUGAGGAAGGCGUUGAAGUUAAUAGCUUCAUCGUUUGACGUUAGCGACAGAAGAAGCACCGGCUAACUCCGUGCCAGCAGCCGCGGUAAUACGGAGGGUGCGAGCGUUAAUCGGAAUUACUGGGCGUAAAGCGCAUGCAGGUGGUUUGUUAAGUCAGAUGUGAAAGCCCGGGGCUCAACCUCGGAACCGCAUUUGAAACUGGCAGGCUAGAGUACUGUAGAGGGGGGUAGAAUUUCAGGUGUAGCGGUGAA
rnacentral:rRNA from 1 species